rnacentral:rRNA from 1 species
CAGAAUUCCGUGAACCAUCGAAUCUUUGAACGCAUAUUGCGCUCGACUCCUCGGAGAAGAGCAUGUCUGCCUCAGCGUCGGUUUACAC